rnacentral:snRNA from 1 species
AUGCUCACUUCAGUAACACAUAUGCUAAAAUUGGAACAAUACGGAGAAGAUUAGUGUGGCUCCUGUGCAAGGAUGACAUGCAAAUUCUUGAAGCGUUCCAUACUACU